GAACGCAUAUUGCGCUCUCCGGCAUUCCGGAGAGCAUGCCUGUUUGAGUAUUGGCCUAAAUGAGAGUCUUCCUUUAAAGAUAUAAAAAAGAACGUUAAGAACCCUCAGUUGAGACUUCUCGACAAUUCAUUGCCGAGUGUUUUAAAAUGCAAUAGUACCGCCACGUUUGCGAACUUGGAGUAAUAUGUGAGCCUGAAAAGGUGACCUCUAUUCUCCUCGGACCACGUAGACCUGUUAAGCGGGAAGUUUUUGAAUGCCGAAUUAUGGGAGACGGUGUUCAAUUGUUCGAGUAACGACGAACGAAAUAAACUCAAUCUCAAAUCAGGUAGGAUUACCCGCUGAACUUAAG
rnacentral:misc_RNA from 1 species